rnacentral:tRNA from 1 species
GGAGAGGUGCCAGAGUGGCCGAAUGGGGCGGUCUCGAAAACCGUUGGGCGCCUUGCGCCCCCUGGGUUCGAAUCCCAGCCUCUCCGCCA